rnacentral:rRNA from 1 species
AGUGAACGCUGGCGGUAUGCCUAACACAUGCAAGUCGAACGGCAGCACAGUAAGAGCUUGCUCUUACGGGUGGCGAGUGGCGGACGGGUGAGGAAUACAUCGGAAUCCACUUUGUCGUGGGUGAUAACGUAGGGAAACUUACGCUAAUACCGCAUACGUCCUACGGGUGAAAGCAGGGGAUCUUCGGACCUUUCGCGAUUGAAUGAGCCGAGUUCGGAUUAGCUAGGUGGGGGGGUAAAGGCCCACCAAGGCGACGAUCCGUAGCUGGUCCGACGGGAUGGUCCGCCACCAUGGAAAUGAGACACGGCACAGACUCCGAAGGGAGGCAGCAGUGGGGAAUAUUGGAGAAUGGGGGGAAGGCUGAUCCAGGCAAAGCGGGUGGAGGAAGAAGGCCCUCGGGUUGGAAAGUCCUUUUGUUUGGAGAGAAAAGCAGCAGGUUAAUACCCCGCUGUUCUGACGGUACCCAAAGAAUAAGCACCGGCUAACUUCGUG